rnacentral:rRNA from 1 species
UACGUAGGGGGCUAGCGUUGUCCGGAUUUAUUGGGCGUAAAGCGAGCGCAGGUGGUUUAUUAAGUCUGGUGUAAAAGGCAGUGGCUCAACCAUUGUAUGCAUUGGAAACUGGUAGACUUGAGUGCAGGAGAGGAGAGUGGAAUUCCAUGUGUAGCGGUGAAAUGCGUAGAUAUAUGGAGGAACACCGGUGGCGAAAGCGGCUCUCUGGCCUGUAACUGACACUGAGGCUCGAAAGCGUGGGGAGCAAACAGG